AGUGACUCUGUUCAACGGCCGCGGUAUCCUAACCGUGCGAAGGUAGCGUAAUCACUUGUUCUUUAAAUGAGGACUAGUAUGAAUGGCACCACGAGGGUUACACUGUCUCCCUUUUCUAAUCAGUGAAACUAAUCUCCCCGUGAAGAAGCGAGGAUAAAACUAUAAGACGAGAAGACCCUAUGGAGCUUUAAACAACACGGCACUUGCCUUUUAAUACAAAAUUUUCUGAAUUCUAAUUUUUUGGGCAACAUGACUGUAAGUUUUUGGUUGGGGUGACCACGGAGCAUAAUAUAACCUCCACGUUGAAAGAAUUAUCUAAACUAAGAUUUACCCAUCUAAGUAUCAACAUAUUGACAUUCAUUGAUCCAAUAUACUUGAACAACGAACCAAGUUACCCUAGGGAUAACAGCGCAAUCUACUUCAAGAGCCCCUAUCGACAAGUAGGUUUACGACCUCGAUGUUGGAUCAGGGUCUCCUAGUGGUGCAGCCGCUACUAAUGGUUCGUUUGUUCAACGAUUAAAACCCUACGUGAUC
rnacentral:rRNA from 1 species